AGAUCCCAAAAGCUCAGAUGACUGAUUGGAUCUUUCAGUGGCGUUGGCUGAAGGUGAAGCCGUUCUCUUGUACACCAGAGGGAUGUGGCUCCCAAAAAAAACAAAAAUUAUAUCAUUACACCAGUAAGUGGCAACAAGUGACUGUCUUUACGAGGUGUGACUCUCCCCCGUAAAACACACACCGUGUGAUGCACAACUUCCCUUUCCUGCCGACACACAGCUGCGUGUCUGAGGCUUGGCGCUCUGCUCUCGUAAAUCAAGGCUUUCUGCAGCAGCAGGAUCCAAUCAGGCCCAGGUGGAGGCCCAGGGGGCAGCUCGGGGGCCAGGCCUGGGGAAUACAAGCUCUGUGCUGGACACCAGAAGAGACUAAAGGCCCAGUACAGGAGAAAGUGCAGAGGACCCGAGCUGGAACCCUGAGGGAUGCCAACACGCUGAAAGAUCUUGGGGAAGAUCCAUCACAUCCACUACUAACCUAAAGUUUCCCUUUUACUCUUUCACAAACUGACACACACAUUUUUGUGUUCUUUCUUUCUCAGUGAUGUACCCAUACAUACUUCUUUCAACAACUUAUCCCCCAAACACACACAGACAUACCCACAGCCCUCUGUUGGUGUCUCCUCACAGGAGAGAGGGUUUGCGAGGGAGGGGUGAAGGAGGGAUGUUGAUGAAAAGUGGCACAGGCCCACGGAAUGUGAUCAGGCCUCCACAUCUGCAGGAAAGACGAAACCGGCCUCCCAAUUUUACAAUGAUGAUGUCAGCCUGCCUACAUGACAGUGUGUGGCUGAGGUGCCAAGUUUCUCCUCUUUCGCUUUGUGUUUUUUUUUUUCCUUUUUCCUUCUCUACCCUUUUUUUUUUUUUGCUGUCUUUUCUGCUCUCUGUGCUUUUUUUUAUUUUUAUCCGAACCCCCUUCCUUUCUUCUUUCUUUUUUUUUUUUUUUUUUUUGUCAUUUUUCCUUCUGUUCACAGCGAAGCCUAGUUUUAUGUUUUAUAGCAUGUAACUCUCAUGGGACAGUAUUAACCAUGCUUUCAUAUGGGGCGAAUUGAGAGCUGGUAAUUUCUAAUUUCAGAAAUAUACUGUGUUUUUGGACUGUAUUCAGCUCAUCUUUAUGAUUAGAAGCACUGCUGACCUCAAUGUCUGAUUGAAACAAAACUUCACAGGUGUAAUAUGUUUCACAUUCUGUUUUUCUGUACUCAGAAAUAGUCAUUGUAGUGGCUGUAUACAAAGGCCAAUUAUAUCCUAAAUUAUGUACAGUGACUAAUGUGAAGAGAACACAAAUAUUCUUUACUGUAUUUGUGUUCUGUACUAGGAUAUAUGCCCAAUUUGAAUGCACUUCUCCAUUAUUUGAUCAUAAUUUUAUUAUUGAUUCCAGGAUCAAUAGGAAAUUAACACAAAUAUCUCUUAAUUGAAAUUCCUUUUUUAUGCUUUCCGCAGGCAGUAAAGGUGCAUUGUUAAUUACAGGACUCAAAUAAAACAAGUAAAAAGUUAUUCAAAAAGUUUUUUGA